GUCGAACGAGUUCUGAUUAUUGAAAGGUGCUUGCAUCUUGAUUUAGAUUUUGAACGAGUGGCGGACGGGUGAGUAACACGUGGGUAACCUGCCCUUAAGUGGGGGAUAACAUUUGGAAACAGAUGCUAAUACCGCAUAAAUCCAAGAACCGCAUGGUUCUUGGCUGAAAGAUGGCGUAAGCUAUCGCUUUUGGAUGGACCCGCGGCGUAUUAGCUAGUUGGUGAGGUAACGGCUCACCAAGGCAAUGAUACGUAGCCGAACUGAGAGGUUGAUCGGCCACAUUGGGACUGAGACACGGCCCAAACUCCUACGGGAGGCAGCAGUAGGGAAUCUUCCACAAUGGACGCAAGUCUGAUGGAGCAACGCCGCGUGAGUGAAGAAGGCUUUCGGGUCGUAAAACUCUGUUGUUGGAGAAGAAUGGUCGGCAGAGUAACUGUUGUCGGCGUGACGGUAUCCAACCAGAAAGCCACGGCUAACUACGUGCCAGCAGCCGCGGUAAUACGUAGGUGGCAAGCGUUAUCCGGAUUUAUUGGGCGUAAAGCGAGCGCAGGCGGUUUUUUAAGUCUGAUGUGAAAGCCCUCGGCUUAACCGAGGAAGUGCAUCGGAAACUGGGAAACUUGAGUGCAGAAGAGGACAGUGGAACUCCAUGUGUAGCGGUGAAAUGCGUAGAUAUAUGGAAGAACACCAGUGGCGAAGGCGGCUGUCUGGUCUGUAACUGACGCUGAGGCUCGAAAGCAUGGGUAGCGAACAGGAUUAGAUACCCUGGUAGUCCAUGCCGUAAACGAUGAAUGCUAGGUGUUGGAGGGUUUCCGCCCUUCAGUGCCGCAGCUAACGCAUUAAGCAUUCCGCCUGGGGAGUACGACCGCAAGGUUGAAACUCAAAGGAAUUGACGGGGGCCCGCACAAGCGGUGGAGCAUGUGGUUUAAUUCGAAGCAACGCGAAGAACCUUACCAGGUCUUGACAUCUUUUGAUCACCUGAGAGAUCAGGUUUCCCCUUCGGGGGCAAAAUGACAGGUGGUGCAUGGUUGUCGUCAGCUCGUGUCGUGAGAUGUUGGGUUAAGUCCCGCAACGAGCGCAACCCUUAUGACUAGUUGCCAGCAUUUAGUUGGGCACUCUAGUAAGACUGCCGGUGACAAACCGGAGGAAGGUGGGGAUGACGUCAAAUCAUCAUGCCCCUUAUGACCUGGGCUACACACGUGCUACAAUGGAUGGUACAACGAGUUGCGAGACCGCGAGGUCAAGCUAAUCUCUUAAAGCCAUUCUCAGUUCGGACUGUAGGCUGCAACUCGCCUACACGAAGUCGGAAUCGCUAGUAAUCGCGGAUCAGCACGCCGCGGUGAAUACGUUCCCGGGCCUUGUACACACCGCCCGUCACACCAUGAGAGUUUGUAACACCCGAAGCCGGUGGCGUAAC
rnacentral:rRNA from 2 species